CCCCAGACUCCUACGGGAGGCAGCAGUGGGGAAUAUUGGGCAAUGGAGGAAACUCUUACCCAGCAAUGCCGCGUGAAUGAAGAAGGUCUUCGGAUUGUAAAGUUCUUUAAUUGGGGACGAAAAAAAUGACGGUACCCAAGGAAUAAGCCCCGGCUAACUACGUGCCAGCAGCCGCGGUAAUACGUAGGGGGCAAGCGUUGUUCGGAAUGACUGGGCGUAAAGGGUGUGUAGGCGGUGUAGCAAGUUAGAAGUGAAAUACCUAGAGCUUAACUCAGGUGCUGCUUCUAAAACUGCUAUACUUGAGUGCAGUAGAGGAAAGUGGAAUUCCUAGUGUAGCGGUGGAAUGCGUAGAUAUUAGGAGGAACAUCAGUGGCGAAGGCGGCCUGCUGGGCUUUUACUGACGCUGAGGCUCGAAAGUGUGGGGAGCAAACAGGAUUAGAUACCCCCGUAU
rnacentral:rRNA from 1 species